GAACUAAUUUUCAUCCAUUCAUAAAAGUAAUUCAAACAAAAUGUCAUAACAACUUGCAAUCAUAUUCGGGCUUCAAAAUAGCCCCUAACUACUAAAAAUUAGUUACACAUAAUCCUUAAAUAAAACCAAAAUAAAGACAUGAGUUUGAGAAGAUAAAACUGCAAGAAGAGAAUGCCAAGAUUUCCUCCUUCCUUUCCUUCCUUCCCCAACGUUGCUGCCUUGCCUUUUCGUUCUGUUCUUUUUUUUUUCUCCUCUCCCUUUGCCGCUGCAACCUACAGCCUUUUUGUUCUUGCUUGUUGCCCCAAUUUCUUCUCCAUAACUCACCCUACUAACAGCCAUUUAGUGAUGACAAUAAGUGAGAGGAAAUGGUAAAACAAUUGUAACUCUUUAGGCAACCUUUAUGCCCAUUACUCCCACUUAAUCCUCAUCUUUAAUUCCAUUUCCUCUGAUAUUUGAAUAGGUGUCAGCUGACUUGUUCUUGGCUACAUUAGUUUUGGCUGAUAGAUUUAUUGGAUUUAUUGCUUUCAAUGCAUUCUUGUCAGUUACAAACUGCUCAGCCUCUUGGGAACCUUUCAGUGUUAAAACAACCAUAACUUCUUCUAGAAAAAUGAUAUUAGCAAUCUGUGAAAUGCUCCAGAAAAUAGACAUCCGUAGUUUUCCAAGCAUAUAAAGUUCAUUCUCUAAUUGAUUCUGAACUGUUCGCAACUUGCUUUCAAAGUCAGUUGAUCUGCAUAGGCAUUUUUGACGAAUUUGUUACUUAAAAUCCCACUUGUGCUAUUUUAUUUUUCUUUUCUUUGCUUGACAAAUCCCAAAAAAUACCAAAACAAAGUAAAUAGCUCAAAAAUAUAAGAAACUAACUAAGAAAAGACAAGUGAAUUUGAUGUAAAAUAUAUAGAAAUAUGAGCUUAUCAACCUCAAAGAGAACAUCUCCAGAUUCUGUUUGAUGAUUAGGCACUGAAUUCAUUAGAGUAUAUGAAUUAUCAAGAUGCAAAAGUUUUUCCAAGUACACACCAAAAAGAACAUUCAAUUUGUCAUUAACCUUUGUAAAUUCAACCGAAUUCACACCAUGAAGCUUUGUGUAAGUCCAAUCCACAAAAUGCAAUUUAUAAUGAGGGUCUAAGAUGAUUGCAAUUGCCAAAAUCAAACUGUACUCUGACCACUACUUCUCAAACUUCGUGUACAUGUAAGUCUCCAUCUUAUUCAUGAAACUUUUAGAGUUAUCCAUGGCUGCCUUAAUUUGAAGUUUGAUUAAGAACACCUUAGGGAAGAACAAAUUUGAUAUGGGGUAUUUUGUCCUAGAGAAUAAUCACGUAACCUUAUAAAAGUACCCAAAAAACUUGGAAAUCUUCAUUAUUUUAUCUCACUCUUCAGAAGAAGGACAACUACUAAAAUUGGAAUCACUUAACCCUAAAUGAAUCAAAGCAUAUCGAUAGAAAAUUGCACUAUCUAGCAUAACAUAGGUUGAGUUCCAUCUAGUAGGGACAUCUUGUCUCAAACCUCUCCUAGCAUCCAAUAUCCCUACUUGUCUAACACAUUCAUAAAACUUUAGUUUCCUAGCCUCAGAGCCCUUUAUAUACUUGAUGCAUUCACGAAUCUUUAUCACCGAAGAAUCAAUUUCUUUAAGUCCAUCUUGGACUAUCAAAUUCAAAACAUGAGCACAACAACACACAUGAAAGAAGUCACCAUUCAUCACGAGAAGACUUCUAAGAUUCAAUUGAUUCUUCAAAACGCUAACAAAAUAAAUAUUUGAAGAAGCAUUAUCCAAAGUAAUAGAAAAUAACUUCUUCUCAAUCCCCCACUCAGUCACCAAUGCAUUAAUUUUCUCAAAUAAUGCAACACCAAUAUGUGGAGGAGGUAUGUGACAAAAACUUAAAAUUCUUUUAUGCAAUUUCCAAUCUUUGUCUACAAAGUGAGCAGUAAGAGCAAGAUACCUAUCAGUGCAUUGCAAGGUCCAUAAGUCUGAUAUCAAACAAAUUCUACCUUCAACUGAGCCUAACAAAUUAUGAAGCCUUUGUUUUUCAUUUUUGAACAUCCUCAACACACAGGCUUUAAUUGUAUUUCUACACGGUAACUUAAUAUCAUGAGAUAUUUAUGCAAACAAAGUCCUAAUUCCCUCAUAUUCAGAAAAACUAAAAGGAAGAUUAUGCUUUAUGAUGACCUCUACCAAUAAGCCAUGGAAUACCACAGGAUCAAAGUUUUGGGAACAUAAUUCAGACACCGACAAUAAUUCACCAGUCAAUCCAGGGCAUGUUUUCAAAUGUCUAUUCAUAUUACCCGUCCCAUGAUGACUAUCAUCUACUACCAAUUUCUUACAAUCUUUACAUUGAGCAUGACUUUUACCAUCUUCAAAAAUAGUAGUCAAUUUGUUGAAAGUUUUGCAAACAUGAGACAUGAGUGUUUGCUUACCUAAUUUGAUCACUCUAGCCUUUUUCUUUGCCGAACUUGUAUUUGUAUCUUCUGUAUUUUCACUUCCAUGAUCAGGUUGUAUUCCCAUUGUAACUUCCAUUGACGCUCCAUCACUAAGGUUCGUAAAAUCUUGCUCUACAACAUCCAUUGCUUCAAGAAAGAAAAACAAAACUGUAAAAUUUUGCUCAUACCAAUUCCAUACCAUAUCCAUUUCAAUUUCAAUUUCACAUAUCCAUAUCCAUUUAAAUUCACAUAUCCAUUUCAAUUUCAAUUUCACAUUUCCAUUCCAAAUUCACAUAUCCAAUUCAAUUUCAAAAUCCAAAUCACAUAUCCACAAAUCAGAAUCCAAUUCAAAUUUACUUUCAAAUUCACAAUUCAAUUAAAAAUACCUUGCACUUGUAGGUUGCAGCCUUGCUUAAUUGCUUUGCUUGUUCCAAAUCUUCAAAUGUGGAAAACAAAUAUAGACCCCACUUAUUAACUUCAAGUAAAUAGACCCCAAAUGAAACAUAGAUACAAAAGAACUAGAGGCAUUCACAAUUAAAAAAAAAAAAAGACCUACCUGCUAAUUGCCAAUACUUGGGGACAAAUAAUUGGACAUUGCAUCUACUACAGCAAAACAAAAAUAGGUGGGGCAUUACUACACUGUCGUUGCCUGCUUCACAUGCCACUUAAAUUCUAACCUCCCCAGUUCCCUGAAAACAUAUCCCCAAUAUAUAUACUCCCAAAUUUCAAUGCUUGAUUCUAUUUCUGCCUCGUCCUUUUGUGAUUUUCAAGCUUAUGAAGCCAACACGAAGCACGCUUACUCAAUCGCUGGGUUUUUUUGAAUGUUUGCAAACAUGCCCCAACCCAGAAACUCCAAAAUCUCCAAAAUCAGAAAACCCCAGAAACCCCAAACCCAGAAAAUUCCCAACCAUUAGUUUUAAUUUUAACGAAAACCCCAAAUCACUAGUUUUUGAAAAAAAAAAACACAAAAUACGCAAAAAUACAACAUUCAUACCUUUAGCGUGUGCUUGCCUGUGUGUGGUUUUCUUGUGGCUGUCGGAGUCGAGUUGAAGGAAGUGAACGGAGAAGGAUGCGAGACAGAUGCGGAUUAAGGAGACGGCAUGUGAGUAAGUCUGGACUGGAGAGAUCAUAGUGAAUGAGAGAGAAGAGAAGGAUAACGUCUAACCUAAUGCACAAUGGAC
rnacentral:lncRNA from 1 species